GACGAACUCUGGCGGCGUGCUUAACACAUGCAAGCCGAACGGUAAGGCUCCAGCUUGCUGGGGUACACGAGUGGCGAACGGGUGAGUAACACGUGGGUGACCUGCCCUGCACUUCGGGAUAAGCCUGGGAAACUGGGUCUAAUACCGGAUAGGACCGCACCGUGAGGGUGUGGUGGAAAGUUUUUUCGGUGUGGGAUGGGCCCGCGGCCUAUCAGCUUGUUGGUGGGGUAAUGGCCUACCAAGGCGGCGACGGGUAGCCGGCCUGAGAGGGUGGACGGCCACAUUGGGACUGAGACACGGCCCAGACUCCUACGGGAGGCAGCAGUGGGGAAUAUUGCACAAUGGGCGGAAGCCUGAUGCAGCGACGCCGCGUGGGGGAUGACGGCCUUCGGGUUGUAAACUCCUUUCACCAUCGACGAAGGGUUUCUGACGGUAGAUGGAGAAGAAGCACCGGCUAACUACGUGCCAGCAGCCGCGGUAAUACGUAGGGUGCGAGCGUUGUCCGGAAUUACUGGGCGUAAAGAGCUCGUAGGUGGUUUGUCGCGUCGUCUGUGAAAUUCCGGGGCUUAACUCCGGGCGUGCAGGCGAUACGGGCAUAACUUGAGUACUGUAGGGGAGACUGGAAUUCCUGGUGUAGCGGUGAAAUGCGCAGAUAUCAGGAGGAACACCGGUGGCGAAGGCGGGUCUCUGGGCAGUAACUGACGCUGAGGAGCGAAAGCAUGGGGAGCGAACAGGAUUAGAUACCCUGGUAGUCCAUGCCGUAAACGGUGGGCGCUAGGUGUGGGUUUCCUUCCACGGGAUCCGUGCCGUAGCUAACGCAUUAAGCGCCCCGCCUGGGGAGUACGGCCGCAAGGCUAAAACUCAAAGGAAUUGACGGGGGCCCGCACAAGCGGCGGAGCAUGUGGAUUAAUUCGAUGCAACGCGAAGAACCUUACCUGGGCUUGACAUAUACAGGAUCGCGCCAGAGAUGGUGUUUCCCUUGUGGCUUGUAUACAGGUGGUGCAUGGUUGUCGUCAGCUCGUGUCGUGAGAUGUUGGGUUAAGUCCCGCAACGAGCGCAACCCUUGUCUUAUGUUGCCAGCACGUUGUGGUGGGGACUCGUAAGAAACUGCCGGGGUUAACUCGGAGGAAGGUGGGGAUGACGUCAAAUCAUCAUGCCCCUUAUGUCCAGGGCUUCACACAUGCUACAAUGGUCGGUACAGUGGGUUGCCAGUCCGUGAGGGCGAGCUAAUCCCGCAAAGCCGGUCUCAGUUCGGAUCGGGGUCUGCAACUCGACCCCGUGAAGUCGGAGUCGCUAGUAAUCGCAGAUCAGCAACGCUGCGGUGAAUACGUUCCCGGGCCU
rnacentral:rRNA from 1 species